rnacentral:rRNA from 1 species
UGGGCGUAAAGAGCUCGUAGGUGGUUUGUCGCGUUGUUCGUGAAAUCUCACGGCUUAACUGUGAGCGUGCGGGCGAUACGGGCAGACUUGAGUACUGCAGGGGAGACUGGAAUUCCUGGUGUAGCGGUGGAAUGCGCAGAUAUCAGGAGGAACACCGGUGGCGAAGGCGGGUCUCUGGGCAGUAACUGACGCUGAGGAGCGAAAGCGUGGGGAGCGAACAGGAUUAGAUACCCUGGUAGUCCACGCCGUAAACGGUGGGUACUAGGUGUGGGUUUCCUUCCUUGGGAUCCGUGCCGUAGCUAACGCAUUAAGUACCCCGCCUGGGGAGUACGGCCGCAAGGCUAAAACUCAAAGAAAUUGACGGGGGCCCGCACAAGCGGCGGAGCAUGUGGAUUAAUUCGAUGCAACGCGAAGAACCUUACCUGGGUUUGACAUGCACAGGACGCCGGCAGAGAUGUCGGUUCCCUUGUGGCCUGUGUGCAGGUGGUGCAUGGCUGUCGUCAGCUCGUGUCGUGAGAUGUUGGGUUAAGUCCCGCAACGAGCGCAACCCUUGUCUCAUGUUGCCAGCGGGUAAUGCCGGGGACUCGUGAGAGACUGCCGGGGUCAACUCGGAGGAAGGUGGGGAUGACGUCAAGUCAUCAUGCCCCUUAUGUCCAGGGCUUCACACAUGCUACAAUGGCCGGUACAAAGGGCUGCGAUGCCGCGAGGUUAAGCGAAUCCUUUUAAAGCCGGUCUCAGUUCGGAUCGGGGUCUGCAACUCGACCCCGUGAAGUCGGAGUCGCUAG